rnacentral:misc_RNA from 1 species
GGGGCGGAGGUGGAGGUGGAGGUGAAGGUGGAGGAAAGGGUGCAGGCAGUGGAUAUGGUGGAGGAUUUGGAGGUGGCGUGCCUUGAGUUCUGAAUUAUCAAUAACUCGAUGGUGGCGUAGUCAAAGAUUUGUGUCAUUGCAUUGUCAGGAGUUUGUAUUUAUGCUUAUAGGAAUAAUAAUGUGGGUAAUAAUAAAGGAGUGUGCAGUUAAAAUAUGUUCUUUAAAUCUGUAAAAUUAAAUGUUGUUUUUUUUUUUAUUUGACUUUUAUUGAAACGAGAACUUAAAAUUUCAUUGCCUUAAAAAUCACUUUAAUAACUAAUCGUGAAAUUUAUAUAUUAUUUUUGAAAUAGAAAUGUAAUUAUAAUUAUGGAUGGGAUAAUAGUAUUAUUAUUUUUAAUU